rnacentral:rRNA from 1 species
AACUACUGGAAACGGUAGCUAAUACCGCAUAAUGUCGCAAGACCAAAGUGGGGGACCUUCGGGCCUCAUGCCAUCAGAUGUGCCCAGAUGGGAUUAGCUAGUAGGUGGGGUAACGGCUCACCUAGGCGACGAUCCCUAGCUGGUCUGAGAGGAUGACCAGCCACACUGGAACUGAGACACGGUCCAGACUCCUACGGGAGGCAGCAGUGGGGAAUAUUGCACAAUGGGCGCAAGCCUGAUGCAGCCAUGCCGCGUGUGUGAAGAAGGCCUUCGGGUUGUAAAGCACUUUCAGCGGGGAGGAAGGCGUUAAGGUUAAUAACCUUGGCGAUUGACGUUACCCGCAGAAGAAGCACCGGCUAACUCCGUGCCAGCAGCCGCGGUAAUACGGAGGGUGCAAGCGUUAAUCGGAAUUACUGGGCGUAAAGCGCACGCAGGCGGUCUGUCAAGUCGGAUGUGAAAUCCCCGGGCUCAACCUGGGAACUGCAUUCGAAACUGGCAGGCUAGAGUCUUGUAGAGGGGGGUAGAAUUCCAGGUGUAGCGGUGA